CGUAUCACCCAAGACAACUUUACGGAGUUGACGAUUGACGGAGCGAAGCGACGUCAAAGCGUUCAUUAAAGUCGAGUUGGCUUAGGGAUACGUUCGUUGGGUAGGGGAGCGUUCUGUAAGCCUGUGAAGGUGUGUCGUGAGGCAUGCUGGAGGUAUCAGAAGUGCGAAUGCUGACAUAAGUAACGAUAAAGCGGGUGAAAAGCCCGCUCGCCGGAAGACCAAGGGUUCCUGUCCAACGUUAAUCGGGGCAGGGUGAGUCGACCCCUAAGGCGAGGCCGAAAGGCGUAGUCGAUGGGAAACGGGUUAAUAUUCCCGUACUUGGUGUUACUGCGAAGGGGGGACGGAGAAGGCUAUGUUGGCCGGGCGACGGUUGUCCCGGUUUAAGCGUGUAGGUGUGUGUUCCAGGUAAAUCCGGUUCACUUUAACACUGAGGCGUGAUGACGAGGCACUACGGUGCUGAAGCAACAAAUGCCCUGCUUCCAGGAAAAGCCUCUAAGCAUCAGGUAACAUCAAAUCGUACCCCAAACCGACACAGGUGGUCAGGUAGAGAAUACCAAGGCGCUUGAGAGAACUCGGGUGAAGGAACUAGGCAAAAUGGUGCCGUAACUUCGGGAGAAGGCACGCUGACACGUAGGUGAAGUGAUUUACUCAUGGAGCUGAAGUCAGUCGAAGAUACCAGCUGGCUGCAACUGUUUAUUAAAAACACAGCACUGUGCAAACACGAAAGUGGACGUAUACGGUGUGACGCCUGCCCGGUGCCGGAAGGUUAAUUGAUGGGGUCAGCGCAAGCGAAGCUCCUGAUCGAAGCCCCGGUAAACGGCGGCCGUAACUAUAACGGUCCUAAGGUAGCGAAAUUCCUUGUCGGGUAAGUUCCGACCUGCACGAAUGGCGUAAUGAUGGCCAGGCUGUCUCCACCCGAGACUCAGUGAAAUUGAACUCGCUGUGAAGAUGCAGUGUACCCGCGGCAAGACGGAAAGACCCCGUGAACCUUUACUAUAGCUUGACACUGAACAUUGAGCCUUGAUGUGUAGGAUAGGUGGGAGGCUUUGAAGCGUGGACGCCAGUCUGCGUGGAGCCGACCUUGAAAUACCACCCUUUAAUGUUUGAUGUUCUAACGUGGACCCGUAAUCCGGGUUGCGGACAGUGUCUGGUGGGUAGUUUGACUGGGGCGGUCUCCUCCUAAAGAGUAACGGAGGAGCACGAAGGUUGGCUAAUCCUGGUCGGACAUCAGGAGGUUAGUGCAAUGGCAUAAGCCAGCUUGACUGCGAGCGUGACGGCGCGAGCAGGUGCGAAAGCAGGUCAUAGUGAUCCGGUGGUUCUGAAUGGAAGGGCCAUCGCUCAACGGAUAAAAGGUACUCCGGGGAUAACAGGCUGAUACCGCCCAAGAGUUCAUAUCGACGGCGGUGUUUGGCACCUCGAUGUCGGCUCAUCACAUCCUGGGGCUGAAGUAGGUCCCAAGGGUAUGGCUGUUCGCCAUUUAAAGUGGUACGCGAGCUGGGUUUAGAACGUCGUGAGACAGUUCGGUCCCUAUCUGCCGUGGGCGCUGGAGAACUGAGGGGGGCUGCUCCUAGUACGAGAGGACCGGAGUGGACGCAUCACUGGUGUUCGGGUUGUCAUGCCAAUGGCACUGCCCGGUAGCUAAAUGCGGAAGAGAUAAGUGCUGAAAGCAUCUAAGCACGAAACUUGCCCCGAG
rnacentral:rRNA from 1 species